CUUGGAUUUCCCUGAGUGGCGUGGAGGAGCGGUUCCUGGCUUGCCGCUGAGCAGGUAAGCUCAGUGAGUUGGUGCGGUCAUGUCGGUCGGGCACAGACGCACAUGGCGGCGAGCCGGGGGCCGUGAUACUCUGGUAUCCGGUGGGUCCCUUAUGGAUAUUCUCCUAACCGCAGAUCGGUCUAGUUUCAUGCGUUUUAUUUUUGCCCACGCUCCAAUGUUUCUUUUGCAUUUAUGUCUGGGCAUUAAAAUCGCAAAUAUGAAGCCUCCUGUCUUGCCAUAAAAUUAUGGAUUAUUCUAGCCUUGGUGAAGUAAUAAUCUAAAUUUUAUUAAAGACAGGAGGCAAAUAUUUCACCUCUCUCCCUGCCCCCACUGUUUGUUUUGACGUUUCCCUCCCUGGAUUGUUGAUUAUUUGGGGGGUAUUUGUUGUGAUUUUGUAUUGUUUCUUUC